UUACAACAUGGAGAGUUUGAUCCUGGCUCAGGAUGAACGCUGGCGGUAUGCUUAACACAUGCAAGUCGAACGGUCCUUUCGGGGAUAGUGGCGGACGGGUGAGUAACGCGUGAGAAUCUGCCUUUAGGACGGGGACAACAGUUGGAAACGGCUGCUAAAACCCGAUGUGCCCUUCGGGGUGAAAUAUUUAUAGCCUGAAGAUGAGCUCGCGUCUGAUUAGCUAGUAGGUGAGGUAAAGGCUCACCUAGGCGACGAUCAGUAACUGGUCUGAGAGGAUGACCAGUCACACUGGGACUGAGACACGGCCCAGACUCCUACGGGAGGCAGCAGUGGGGAAUUUUCCGCAAUGGGCGCAAGCCUGACGGAGCAAUACCGCGUGAGGGAGGAAGGCUCUUGGGUCGUA
rnacentral:rRNA from 1 species